UAGAUACCCUGGUAGUCCAUGCCGUAAACGUUGGGCACUAGGUGUGGGGGACAUUCCACGUUUUCCGCGCCGUAGCUAACGCAUUAAGUGCCCCGCCUGGGGAGUACGGCCGCAAGGCUAAAACUCAAAGGAAUUGACGGGGGCCCGCACAAGCGGCGGAGCAUGCGGAUUAAUUCGAUGCAACGCGAAGAACCUUACCAAGGCUUGACAUGUGCCAGACCGCUCCAGAGAUGGGGUUUCCCUUCGGGGCUGGUUCACAGGUGGUGCAUGGUUGUCGUCAGCUCGUGUCGUGAGAUGUUGGGUUAAGUCCCGCAACGAGCGCAACCCUCGUUCCAUGUUGCCAGCACGUAGUGGUGGGGACUCAUGGGAGACUGCCGGGGUCAACUCGGAGGAAGGUGGGGAUGACGUCAAAUCAUCAUGCCCCUUAUGUCUUGGGCUUCACGCAUGCUACAAUGGCCGGUACAAUGGGUUGCGAUACUGUGAGGUGGAGCUAAUCCCUAAAAGCCGGUCUCAGUUCGGAUUGGGGUCUGCAACUCGACCCCAUGAAGUCGGAGUCGCUAGUAAUCGCAGAUCAGCAACGCUGCGGU
rnacentral:rRNA from 1 species